rnacentral:rRNA from 1 species
AUCUGGUUGAUCCUGCCAGUAGUCAUACGCUCGUCUCAAAGAUUAAGCCAUGCAUGUGUAAGUAUAAAUAAUUCUACUUUGAAACUGCGAAUGGCUCAUUAUAUCAGUUAUAGUUUAUUAGAAAUAAUGUACUACUUGGAUAACCGUAGUAAUUCUAGGGCUAAUACAUGAAUGAAUCCUCGACUUUGAAGAGGUGUGUUUAUUAGUAUGAAAACCAUAUGCUUCGGCAUGAUAGUGAGUAAUAAUAACCUUUCAUAUCGUAUGUUGAAAUAACGAUAGUUCUUUCAAGUUUCUGCCCUAUCAGCUUUCGAUGGUAGUGUAUUGGACUACCAUGGCAGUAACGGGUAACGAAGAAUUUGGGUUCGAUUUCGGAGAGGGAGCCUGAGAGAUGGCUACCACAUCCAAGGAAGGCAGCAGGCGCGUAAAUUACCCAAUCCUGACAUAGGGAGGUAGUGACAAUAAAUCACAAUGCGGGACUUUUAGUUUUGCAAUUGGAUUGAGAACAAUGUACAAGAGUUAUCGAUAAACAAUUGGAGGGCAAGUCUGGUGCCAGCAGCCGCGGUAAUUCCAGCUCCAAUAGCGUAUAUUAACGUUGUUGCAGUUAAAAAGCUC